rnacentral:rRNA from 1 species
GAUGAACGCUGGCGGCGUGCCUAACACAUGCAAGUCGAGCGAUUCUCUUAGGAGAAGAGCGGCGGACGGGUGAGUAACGCGUGGGUAACCUGCCCUGUACACACGGAUAACAUACCGAAAGGUAUGCUAAUACGAGAUAAUAUGCUUUUAUCGCAUGGUAGAAGUAUCAAAGCUCCGGCGGUACAGGAUGGACCCGCGUCUGAUUAGCUUGGUGGUAAGGUAACGGCUUACCAAGGCGAAGAUCAGUAGCCGACCUGAGAGGGUGAUCGGCCACAUUGGAACUGAGACACGGUCCAAACUCCUACGGGAGGCAGCAGUGGGGAAUAUUGCACAAUGGGCGAAAGCCUGAUGCAGCAACGCCGCGUGAGCGAUGAAGGCCUUCGGGUCGUAAAGCUCUGUCCUCAAGGAAGAUAAUGACGGUACUUGAGGAGGAAGCCCCGGCUAACUACGUGCCAGCAGCCGCCGUAA